rnacentral:rRNA from 1 species
GACGAACGCUGGCGGCGUGCUUAACACAUGCAAGUCGAACGGGCCCGCUCUCUUUUUUGGGGGUGGGUUGAGUGGCGAACGGGUGAGUAUCACGUGAGUAACCUGCCCCCUGCUCCUGGAUAACUGCUUGAAAGGGCGGCUAAUACGGGGUGUGCCGGCUGGUCCGCAUGGGCCUGGUCGGGAUAGUUUCAUCUUCGGGUGUUUCGGUGGGGGAUGGGCUCGCGGCCUAUCAGCUUGUUGGUGGGGUGAUGGCCCACCAAGGCGGUGACGGGUAGCCGGCCUGAGAGGGUGGGCGGCCACACUGGGACUGAGACACGGCCCAGACUCCUGCGGGAGGCAGCAGUGGGGGGUAUGGCGCAAUGGGCGGAAGCCUGAUGCAGCGACGUCGCGUGAGGGAUGGAGGCCUUCGGGUGGUGAACCUCUUUCUCCGGUGGUGAAGGCCCUGUCCGUUGCGGCGGGGUUGACGGUAGCCGGGGAUGAAGCGCCGGCUAACUACGUG